rnacentral:rRNA from 1 species
UACGUAGGGGGCAAGCGUUGUCCGGAAUCAUUGGGCGUAAAGAGCGUGUAGGCGGCUCGAUAAGUCUGCUGUGAAAGUCCAGGGCUCAACCCUGGAAGGCCGGUGGAAACUGUCGGGCUAGAGUCCGGAAGAGGCGAGUGGAAUUCCUGGUGUAGCGGUGGAAUGCGCAGAUAUCAGGAGGAACACCGAUGGCGAAGGCAGCUCGCUGGGACGGUACUGACGCUGAGGCGCGAAAGCUAGGGGAGCAAACAGG